UUACGAUUGUUACCAACUGGGAUGAUAUGGAAAAAAUCUGGCACCACACUUUUUACAAUGAAUUAAGAGUUGCUCCAGAAGAACACCCAGUCUUAUUAACUGAAGCUCCAAUGAAUCCUAAAUCUAAUAGAGAAAAGAUGACUCAAAUUAUGUUUGAACUUUUAAUGUUCCUGCUUUCUACGUUUCUAUUCAAGCCGUUUUAUCCUUGUACUCUUCUGGUAGAACACCGGUAUUGUUUUGGAUUCUGGUGAUGGUGUUACUCACGUUGUUCCAAUUUAUGCUGGUUUCUCCUUACCAUGGUAUUUUAAGAAUUGACUUGGCUGGUAGAGAUUUAACUGAUUACUUGAUGAAAAUCUUAUCUGAGGUUUCUCCACCACUGCUGAACGUGAAAUUGUUCGUGAUAUUAAAGAAUUAUGUUAUUUGCUUUGGUUUCGAACAAGAAAUGCAAACUUCUUCUCAAUCUUCUGCCAUUGAAAAAUCUUAUGAAUUACCUGAUGGUCAAGUUAUUACCAUUGGUAAUGAAAGAUUGAAGCCUUGUUCAGACCUGCUGACCUUGGUUUGGAAGCUCAUGGUUUGAAAACUACUUAUAACUCCAUCAUGAAGUGUGAUGUUGAUGUUCGUAAGGAAUUAUACGGUAACAUUGUUAUGUCUGGUGGUACUACCAUGUUCCCAGGUAUUGCUGAACGUAUGCAAAAGGAAAUUACCUCUUUGGCCCCAUCCUCAAUGAAGGUUAAGAUUAUUGCUC
rnacentral:rRNA from 1 species